rnacentral:rRNA from 1 species
AACGAACGCUGGCGGCAUGCCUAACACAUGCAAGUCGAACGGGAUCCUGGUUUCGGCCAGGUGAGAGUGGCGGACGGGUGAGUAACGCGUGGGAACCUGCCCAGUGGUGGGGGAUAACUGCGGGAAACUGCAGCUAAUACCGCAUGAGCCCGCAAGGGGAAAGAUUGAUCGCCAUUGGAGGGGCCCGCGUUCGAUUAGGUAGUUGGUGAGGUAACGGCUCACCAAGCCUUCGAUCGAUAGCUGGUCUGAGAGGAUGAUCAGCCACACUGGGACUGAGAUACGGCCCAGACUCCUACGGGAGGCAGCAGUGGGGAAUAUUGGACAAUGGGGCGAACCCUGAUCCAGCAAUGCCGCGUGAGUGAUGAAGG